UCCGAGUUGACCCCGGCGGUCUCCCACGAGUCCCCACCAUUACGUGCUGGCAACGUAGGACAAGGGUUGCGCUCGUUGCGGGACUUAACCCAACAUCUCACGACACGAGCUGACGACAACCAUGCACCACCUGUGCAGGUUCCUGACUUAACAGGUCGUCACCGUUUCCGGCUUCUACUUCCUGCAUGUCAAGCCCAGGUAAGGUUCUUCGCUCUGCAUCGAAUUGAACCACACGCUCCACCGCUUGUGCGGGCCCCCGUCAAUUCCUUUGAGUUUCAACCUUGCGGCCGUACUCCCCAGGCGGACGACUUAAUGCGUUAGCUGCGGCACGGAAGGGACUGAACCCCCCCACACCUAGUCGUCAUCGUUUACAGCGUGGACUA
rnacentral:misc_RNA from 1 species